GUUUAAUUGAUGUAGUGUUUCACCUGUAUCUGUGUUGUUUGCAGAAAUUGUCAGCAAGCAUCACUGAAAGAAAGGGUGGAAGACAUUGAAAAGCAAGAAUGUGUCUCCUGUGAUUCUUGAAGGCUGAAAGAUUUUCUACAUGUGAGAAAACUCCAUGUGAAGAAAAAGAAUGGGUAGCUGACAAAAAGAAAAAGAAGAGUCGUCUCCAUGCUCUACAAGUGACACCAGCUUGCGCAAUACAUCUGCUUGAUGUCACCUUAUUCCACAAAAGUUUUCUUUCAGGUUUUCCAUGAAGACAGGCUUCACUUUGGUCAGGAUGGUAACAAAUGGCAUCGUUUGGUCUCUGCUCCAGUUUCUGUGGGGGUUUCCCCUCAGGGGUGCUGCUGCAUGGUACUCUGGAUGCGUGGCAGUAGGUGCAUCUUCGCCACAGUUAGCCUCCCCUUUCUUUCCAUACUGUUGAUUCGUUCUCCUUAGCUACUUGUUCUGCCUUGCACCCCUCAGACAUGGUCAAUCUGCUGUCAAACUGGUUUAGUCUUUGGAUGUUGUCAAUGUCCCCUGUGCUACUUCAGACAGCGCAUGCUCGUUUUGCCUGUUUUGCAAAUGAACAAGAAGUAUUUCAAUUAUUAAACAGACUUCUAAAAAUGUA